ensembl:lncRNA
AGACGGAAGACCCACCCUGGGUGCUCGUGACACCAACCCAUGGGCGUCCACCUGAAUGGAAUAAAAAGAAAUGAAGAAGGAAGACUCGUGUCUGCUUCUUCCGAGGAGCUCCAGUCUUUGCCUUCCCCUUGGAUGUCACCUCCUGGAUUCCAGAGCAGACUCUUCGGAUUCUAGUACCGACCCUUCCACCUCCCAUGACAGACCCUUUGGGCUCCUGAUACCAACUUGCACAAAACACUGCAGUGAGCUCCAGGCCUUCAGCUGAGUCCUUCAGAUGUCCAGCGUGCAGCCAGACCUUGUGCAUUUUUCCACUCCUGACUCUGUGGGCAGCCAUUGUAAGCAAAUCUUGUUUUCUUUAUGGACUUGCUCCAGAACUGGAUUCCUGGCGCCCACUGCACAGUGUUUGAAGGAGGCCAAAAGAUAUUGAAAUGCUCCCACCAACAUCAUAUAAAGUUGUCCAAGUCCUGGGCUGGACUAGGCAACUUCCACCAAACCAUAUGGCUGUGAAUGGCAAAGUCAAAGGAACAAAAUUCCAUCAUCUCUAUGAUGCAAAAUA